AAGUCAAGCAAAUGAACAGGCAUGACACUUCCUGUAAAAAUGAAAAACAACUACCUUUGAUCACCCUAUUUAACUGAAAUUUAAGUAACCAAGUGAUUCAGGAAUUCUAGUAAACAUGUACCCUGGAGAAGACAACUAAAAUGACAGCUAAUUUGGCAGGAUACCCAGCUGAUGCGUGAGCCCAAGGCACCCUGAGUCGGAGGAAAGACCCACACGACGGCAGCCAGGACCUUGCUUCCACCUGCCAGACUUUCCUGAUGCUGGUGCCCUGCUCAAGCCUCUGCAGGACCUCCGUGCCCAGACUCUCCAUUGCUAGGUUCUACCCUCCUUAGCAAGCCCUCAAACCCCAUCCUGUGCCACACCUCCCUAGCCUACCCUCUGCUUCCACUUUUACCUAAGGACUCACCUCUCUCUAUCAGGAUAUACUGCUUCCUUUGCUCACUGCCAGCAGCUGGGUUGACCCUAACCCAAGCCCAGGAACCAAUUUCACUUCCCAAGCCCUUCAGGUCUAUCGGAUGUUGCCACUUUUCAAGAUUCUUUCUGCUUGAAGCAUCAUUAGAAGAAAAUGGAUGAGAGGAUAAGCUUCAGAACAGUGAUGUGCAGCCUGAGAACUCUGA